rnacentral:rRNA from 1 species
UCUUAUAUAUUUAUAUUAAUUUUAUAUUAUAUGAAAUAUUUAAAAAUUUAAUAUAAAUAUUUUUUUGGGGUGAAAUAAAAAUUAAAUUAACUUUAUAUUUAUAGAUAUUAACAUAAAUUAAUGAAUAUUUGAUCUAAUUUUAUUGAUUAAAAGAUUAAGU